GACGAACGCUGGCGGCGUGCCUAAUACAUGCAAGUCGAACGGACAGACGAUGCUCUUGCUCGUUGCACGUGUGGCGAACGGGUGAGUAACACGCGAGUAACCCGCCCUUGUCUUUGUGGUAUCAUCAGGGAACUGGGGAUAAUAUAGGGUAGGAGCUCCUGCUCCAUAGUGGUGGAUGGUAAGUUACGGCGGUUGGGGAUGGACUGGCGGCUUAUCAGCUUGUUGGUGGGGUAGUGGCUUACCAAGGCUUCGACGGAUAGCCGGCCUGAGAGGGUGACCGGCCACAUGGGGACUGAGAGACGCCCCAGACUGCUACGGGAGGCAGCAGUGGAAAGUAUUGCGCAAUGAGCGGAAGCCUGAUACAGCGACGCCGCGUUCGGGAUGACGGCCUUCGGGGUGUAAACCGCUUUCGCCUGUGACGAAGCGUGAUUGACGGUAAUGGGUAAAAAAGCACCGGCUAACUACGUG
rnacentral:rRNA from 1 species